CCUACGAGUAGCAGCAGUGGGGAAUAUUGCACAAUGGGGGAAACCCUGAUGCAGCGAUGCCGCGUGAGUGAAGAAGUAUUUCGGUAUGUAAAGCUCUAUCAGCAGGGAAGAAAAUGACGGUACCUGCUUAAGAAGCCCCGGCUAACUACGUGCCAGCAGCCGCGGUAAUACGUAGGGGGCAAGCGUUAUACGGAUUUACUGGGUGUAAAGGGAGCGUGGACGGCAGCACAAGUCUGGAGUGAAAUGCCGGGGCUUAACCCCCGAACUGCUUUGGAAACUGUGCAGCUAGAGUGCAGGAGAGGUAAGUGGAAUUCCUAGUGUAGCGGUGAAAUGCGUAGAUAUUAGGAGGAACACCAGUGGCGAAGGCGGCUUACUGGACUGUAACUGACGUUGAGGCUCGAAAGCGUGGGGAGCAAACAGGAUUAGAUACCCUUGUAGUC
rnacentral:rRNA from 1 species